rnacentral:rRNA from 1 species
GUCCUAGCCGUAAACGAUGGACACUAGGUGUUGGUGGUAUCAACCCCGCCAGUGCCGAAGCUAACGCAUUAAGUGUCCCGCCUGGGGAGUACGGCCGCAAGGCUAAAACUCAAAGGAAUUGACGGGGCCCGCACAAGCAGCGGAGCGUGGGGUUUAAUUCGACGCAACGCGAAGAACCUUACCAGGGCUUGACAUGACCAGGACACCGGCGGAAACGUCGGCUCCCCGCAAGGGGCCUGGCCACAGGUGUUGCAUGGCUGUCGU